AUUGAAACUGAUGAUUAAUUGAAUGGUCAUGAUUCAGCAGACACCAAUGAACGAACAAAUGAGUUAGAAACAGAAACAAUGGUAAUGAAGUGAUGCAAACAUGGUUAGUGAUGAAGUAUCAGCAUGACAUCUACUGGAUACUUCCUCGAAAGAGGGUGCAUUCUGGUGGUGACAUUUCUGCUGUCAAUACCAGUGAGGGUUUAUCUGAAAUUUCAAAUACUGACAUCAAGCGUGCACGAAAGGUGACCCUUUCUGGCCAGCAGGUACAAGCCCAUGCCUUGAAAAAAACUCAAAAAGUACAAACUGUUCUCUCUUAAUAUAAGGCGAUAACGUUAUCAUUCACAUUCAGUCCAUUGAUAUGGGCCCUGCAUAUGCGAAAAACGUAACAGGCUUGGGGAUGAAUGUGAAUGAACAUAUGGCGGCUACAAAAUUGGAACAGAAGACUUAGUUGCACAAAUAAAGGGAUACUUGAGUAUAGACCCGG
rnacentral:lncRNA from 1 species